ensembl:lncRNA
UAAAUAUGUAAAAAGUGCAGAUGUAAAAGGUUCAUUAUGAACAUAUAUCAUAUUUACUUAUGGAUUAGUUUUUAUAGUGUUCCUUAUGGAUCAUAUUUAAGAUAUUCUAAUGUACCCAACCUUCCAUAAUUAAAUAAUUACCUUCACAUCUCACACCACUCCAUUUCAGAGGCGAAAAAGGUCCUCCACAUGCAAAACAUUUUUCUAAACUUGACAUUUCGUCAGGGACUAGAUCAUGAUCGCAGUCCUGUUUGGUAAAAAAAAACAAAAAAAAACAACAGUGUAAUCAAAAACAAAAUUCAUACUUUUGUGAUGUAAAAUAUCACAACCAAAUAGUUGUUUUGGUUCCUCUUUAAAAAGGAGUUAAGGACGGAAGAAAAAAAAAAAAAAAAAAAAAAAAAAAAAAAACAGGUUCAAGUGUUACUAAAACUAUUAAAUCAAUUUUUGUAACUUUUGCAAUGCAAAAUUUAAAGGGAAAAAUACCUGCUGUAUAUAGAUCAAUUUUCAAAACAAUUUGUUCUUCUAGGUUUUAUAUUAUGGUAUAUAUUACAAAACCACAAUGAAAAGAAAAUUCAUUGUGGACCCACAACACCCAAAAAAGAUUAGACUUACAAUUUGUUCUUUCUGAAAUGAGAAGAUGUGUCCAAAUUUUGACUGGGAGUGUAAAAAAGUAUAAUUAAAUCAUGAAGUCAUGAAUCCAUCAAGACAUAACGGAUGGCCUUUACACAACAAUGUUACAUAAAUGUGCUUAGCAUUAACAGGAAAGAGUUUAGCGAUUGUUUCGGUUGUAUUUACAUGCUCCUUCCUAUAGUAAGCUUCAUUCUUGCUCCUUGAUCAGCUGAAAUUCAAAUAUGCGAUCUAACUACAUCAGAGUUCAUUUCAACCAAGCCGAGAACUACGUCUUUAUGCAAACCAGAUUUAGGGUUGGGGUUUCAUACUUCCUGUUUCAAAUCUCAGUCCUCCUAAUGCGUGCAUCUUACUUGGUCAAGAUAACCAAGGACCCACAUACCUCAAUACUGCCUAAUAACUAGCACCUCAGUCUACAACUAAAACAAUCUGACACUGAAACUCCAAUUUA